rnacentral:RNase_P_RNA from 2 species
UGAGCAGGUCGGGCGAUCGCCCCGGCAAGUCGGGGAGGAAAGUCCGGACUCCGCAGGGCAGUGUGCUGGCUAACGGCCAGGAUCGGUCGGGCCUCCCCAGGCAAUGCCGGAGGGGUCGGGCCGGUACGGAAAGCGCCACAGAAAACAUACCGCCCCGGCUUGCCGGGGUAAGGGUGAAAAGGUGCGGCCCGCAAGGGCUUAAUGUAAGAGCGCACCGCCCGGAUGGUGACAUCCGGGGCAGGGCAAACCCCACACGGAGCAAGACCAAAUAGGAGAAGAGGAGUGGCCCGCUUCGCAACCUCGUUCGGCAACGGGCGAGGGGUGACUCUCGGGUAGGUCGCUAGAGCUUGGGAGUAAUCCCAGGCCCAGAGGAAUGAUCGCCGUCCCGGCUUGCCGGGACACAAAAUCCGGCUUAUAGGCCUGCUUGCCUG